GCCUUCGUGGUGUAAUGGUCAGCACACUGAGCCUGGUAUUUCAGAGGUCCGUGGUUCGAUCCCCGGCGACGGCA
rnacentral:tRNA from 1 species